CGGAAGCGUUUCGAACCAAAGUCAUGGGCACUUUGAGCCGCUGCAGCUGCGAGUAACUGCGCCGGGGCGCGCACGCUAGCAGGGCCAGCGCAACAACCACGACGACUCCAUUCAAAUUCAUCUUUCACGGACUUCUCAGGGUUUGGAUCGAUGCUGAAGUUUGCAGAGAAGAUGAAGAUGAAGAAAAUAGAUAGAAACUAGCUUCGCAGAUUCAGAGCGAUCGACGACGGAUGUGAAAAUGUGAUGCGAAUCGUGAGAGAAUUAAGCCAAUAGAGAGAGAAGGGUGGUGGACCCGGAUUGGGUAGUGGGGGACCCACGCAGCCUAACGAAUGGUUGUUGACGACGAUGAUAGCGUGGGGAAAUUAAGUUCUUCCCUUCGUCCUCACAGCAAGCAAAUUUAGCUCAUGUUUUGGAUGCGGAAAAAAUAAUUCAGAUUUUAUCUAUUUUUUUUUUUAAUUUUAUCUUAGAGAGUCAAAUUAUCUAAAUAUAUUUUUCAAUUUUAUUUA